UGUUCUUUUACAUUUCUCUUUGGGAGCUUCUUUCUACCCUCAGCCAAAAUUUUCCCUCGUUUUCUAAAUUCAGUUUCGCUUCUUUUAGAUUCAUCAAACCCAUUCCCCCAAAUUUGACUUCGUAUUUGCCCCCAAAUUUUAAAAAACCUAUCACAAUAUCUCCUAAAUUACAUUUUCGCGUUCCCUCUACAACCACAUUUUCCCUCUUCACAAUUCUAAUUUUUCUUCCCUGCAUCGCAAUCUCGAAUCUCUCCAGAAGCUUCUUCUCACCAAAGCCAUCUUCAUCGACGAAGAGACGUUCUCCAAAGCCUUCCUUACCGCUGACCAAGCCCGCUCCAUCAAACUGCUCCAGCAACGAGUUGAGACAUUGGAGAGAGAGGUUGACUCUGCUAUCACCGUUGCCGCUCGCCUUCGCUCUGAGAAACGACAAGCUGAGGCCGCUCAGAAAGUCGCCGACUUGCACGCAUUGGAGAGCUGGAAAGCGUGAAAAAAUGAAAGCGCGAUGGUGAGACCCACUCACAUGGCUUUGGCAUUUUCAUAUUAUAAAGCACUCGCUCACUCCAUAUACAGACAUCAUCACAGUGACCAUAAACGACACUGUUUCGAUCCAAGAUGUCAGUCACGUCACGCCAAGAUAUUCUCUUGUUCCACCAUGCCAAACCCUAGGCUCCACCAAGCAAUGCGGGAUUUAUCGGGAGAGGGUUAGCGUAAAGGUGCCAAACGAAGAAAAUGCUUGUUUUCGUUUUCGUCGUUGUUGUCACCUUCAUCUCCCUCUAGGAGUUUUGCUAGUGCCACGACCACGUUUACACGUUCACCAUACACCACCGCCACUCCGAACCCGUCAAAAAGUGGUCCCACGCCGCUACCAGAAUCCCCCUCCUCCCGAUAAGGGCACCGUCGAGUACUACACUGAGUUGGCCGUCCACGAUCGCUUCCUCCGUGGCCGCAAACUCUCUCAAAUCGACGCCAGUCUCGCUUUCUCCGAUGGCAACUCCACCUUCCGCAUCAGCUCCCUCGGAUUGUACCUUUUCUUCUCUUUGAUUCUUCUAUUGUCAUUAUUUAAAGUUUUAUUUUUCAAGAUUUUAAUUUAAAUAUAAUCUCUUCCUACUCUUUUCUAACCAUAAAAUGAUAGGAAGAUUAAAUUUUGUUAAUAAUUAUGUUGAAACCGUUUUUAAUUGUUGAUAAUGUGAAAAUUAGUGUAUGAAGAGUUGAAAAUUAGAUUCUUCUUUUAAUUUAAAUUGAUUAAUAAUUUCUUUAUAAUAAUUUAGUUAUCAGUUUAAUGAAGUGACAAUGACUUGAGGUUUGAAUUUUGAAUGAGAUUGGCCAUGUUUAGAAAGAAGAAAUUACUAUUUAGAUGUGAAUAAUGUUUGAGUUUGACCAUUCUUUGUUAAUGAUUUCGGUGAUGUUACGAAUUUGUCAGUAAUGUUUUUUCUUGGAGAUUGGUUUCAUGUUUUCUUUAACCUUUUCUUUUUCUUCUGGAGAUUCAUACGAUAGUUGAAAUAGGACAUCAGGAGUGAAGUUCAUGGUGGCGCUUGAUACCGGAAGUGACCUGUUCUGGGUACCCUGUGAUUGCACAAGAUGUGUUGCUACUGAUAGCCCAACCUUUGCUUCGGAUCAAAAUCAAUGAUAAUGAUUGUGGAUAUUAUGUGUGUCAAUGUAUAAAAUAAAUUAUUACAUACUGUGAAGGAGGAAUAAUUCCAACUGAUUAUUUUCAUAAUUGCAUAUAUCAACCAUAUCGUGACAACAAAUUAUUGAAGUUAGGGAAGGUUAAUGUUUACAUGUAAUCAGUACAUGCUUAUAGGUUGUUAUGGUGAUGUAAAUGUUUAUAGGUACAAGGAUAUAUAUGUUAUGAUUGUAUAUAUUGUCUUAUAAAGCAAUGUCAUGUCAUGACACUUAGUUGACACUCAAAGAUUAUAUUUUGAAAUAUUAUUAUAUCAAUAGUUUUUAUUUA